UAUUUUAUAUGAGAGUUUGAUCCUGGCUCAGGAUGAACGCCGGCGGUGUGCCUAAUACAUGCAAGUCGUACGCACUGGCCCAACUGAUUGAUGGUGCUUGCACCUGAUUGACGUUGGGUUAGCAGUGAG
rnacentral:rRNA from 1 species